rnacentral:rRNA from 1 species
AUUGAACGCUGGCGGCAGGCUUAACACAUGCAAGUCGAGCGGAGAUGAGGUGCUUGCACCUUAUCUUAGCGGCGGACGGGUGAGUAAUGCUUAGGAAUCUGCCCAUUAGUGGGGGACAACAUUCCGAAAGGAAUGCUAAUACCGCAUACGUCCUACGGGAGAAAGCAGGGGAUCUUCGGACCUCGCGCUAAUAGAUGAGCCUAAGUCGGAUUAGCUAGUUGGUGGGGUAAAGGCCUACCAAGGCGACGAUCUGUAGCGGGUCGGAGAGGAUGAUCCGCCACACUGGGACUGAGACACGGCCCAGACUCCUACGGGAGGCAGCAGUGGGGAAUAUUGGACAAUGGGGGAAACCCUGAUCCAGCCAUGCCGCGUGUGUGAAGAAGGCCUUAUGGUUGUAAAGCACUUUAAGCGAGGAGGAGGCUACUGAGACUAAUACUCUUGGAUAGUGGACGUUACUCGCAGAAUAAGCACCGGCUAACUCUGUGCCAGCCGCCGCCGUAAUAC